rnacentral:rRNA from 1 species
GACGAACGCUGGCGGCGUGCUUAACACAUGCAAGUCGAACGAAAAGAGGGAAAGAGCCUGCUCUUUCCGGAAUUGAGUGGCAAACGGGUGAGUAACACGUAAACAACCUGCCUUCAGGAUGGGGACAACAGACGGAAACGACUGCUAAUACCGAAUAAGUUCCAAGGGCCGCAUGGCCCAUGGAAGAAAAGGUGGCCUCUACCUGUAAGCUAUCGCCUGAAGAGGGGUUUGCGUCUGAUUAGCUGGUUGGAGGGGUAACGGCCCACCAAGGCGACGAUCAGUAGCCGGUCUGAGAGGAUGAACGGCCACACUGGAACUGAGACACGGUCCAGACUCCUACGGGAGGCAGCAGUGGGGAAUCUUCCGCAAUGGGCGAAAGCCUGACGGAGCAACGCCGCGUGAGUGAUGACGGCCUUCGGGUUGUAAAACUCUGUGAUCCGGGACGAAAAGGCAGAGUGCGAAGAACAAACUGCAUUGACGGUACCGGAAAAGCAAGCCACGGCUAACUACGUG